GAUGAACGCUAGCGGGAGGCCUAACACAUGCAAGCCGAACGAUGAAACCUAGCUUGCUAGGUCGAUUAGUGGCGAACGGGUGAGUAACACGUGACUAACCUGCCCCUUUCUCUGGGAUAACGCUCCGAAAGGAGUGCUAAUACCGGAUACUCACAUCGAGGCACAUGCCUUGGUGUGGAAAGUUUUUCGGAAAGGGAUGGAGUCGCGGCCUAUCAGCUUGUUGGUGAGGUAACGGCUCACCAAGGCGACGACGGGUAGCCGGCCUGGGAGGGCGACCGGCCACACGGGGACUGAGGCACGGCCCAGACGCCUACGGGAGGCAGCAGUGGGGAAUAUUGCACAAUGGGCGCAAGCCUGAUGCAGCGACGCCGCGUGAGGGAUGAAGGUCUUCGGAUUGUAAACCUCUUUCAGUAGGGACGAAGCGAAAGUGACGGUACCUAAAGAAGAAGCACCGGCUAACUACGUGCCAGCAGCCGCAGUAA
rnacentral:rRNA from 1 species